UCCGGUUUAUCACCGGCAGUCUUCUUAGAGUGCUCGGCAUCACCCGUUAGCAACUAAGAACAAGGGUUGCGCUCGUUGCGGGACUUAACCCAACACCUCACGGCACGAGCUGACGACAGCCAUGCAGCACCUGUGCAGGAUCUCCGAAGAGGGGCUCUCGUUUCUGAGAGCUUGCUCCUGCAUGUCAAGCCUAGGUAAGGUUCUUCGCGUUGCGUCGAAUUAAACCACAUGCUCCACCGCUUGUGCGGGCCCCCGUCAAUUCCUUUGAGUUUCAGCCUUGCGGCCGUACUCCCCAGGCGGGGCACUUCAUGCGUUAGCGCCGGUACUCCAAGGGUCGCUCCCCGGAGCACCUAGUGCCCAUCGUUUACGGCGUGGACUAC
rnacentral:misc_RNA from 1 species